rnacentral:tRNA from 1 species
GCAGGGGUGUCCGAGCUUGGUCAAAGGAGCUAGGUUGAGGUCCUAGUCUCGUAGGAGUGCGCGGGUUCGACUCCCGUCCCCUGCA